rnacentral:tRNA from 2 species
GGCGGAGAAGAGAAAAUGGUUGUCUCGUCAGGCUCAUAAUCUGAAGAUUGUAGGUUCGAGUCCUACCUCCGCUC